rnacentral:rRNA from 1 species
GACGAUGAACCACUUCCGGUGGGGAUUAGUGGCGAACGGGUGAGUAACACGUGGGCAAUCUGCCCUUCACUCUGGGACAAGCCCUGGAAACGGGGUCUAAUACCGGAUAUCACUCCCGCAGGCAUCUGCGGGUGUCGAAAGCUCCGGCGGUGAAGGAUGAGCCCGCGGCCUAUCAGCUUGUUGGUGAGGUAAUGGCUCACCAAGGCGACGACGGGUAGCCGGCCUGAGAGGGCGACCGGCCACACUGGGACUGAGACACGGCCCAGACUCCUACGGGAGGCAGCAGUGGGGAAUAUUGCACAAUGGGCGAAAGCCUGAUGCAGCGACGCCGCGUGAGGGAUGACGGCCUUCGGGUUGUAAACCUCUUUCAGCAGGGAAGAAGCGAAAGUGACGGUACCUGCAGAAGAAGCGCCGGCUAACUACGUGCCAGCAGCCGCGGUAAUACGUAGGGCGCAAGCGUUGUCCGGAAUUAUUGGGCGUAAAGAGCUCGUAGGCGGCUUGUCACGUCGGGUGUGAAAGCCCGGGGCUUAACCCCGGGUCUGCAUUCGAUACGGGCUAGCUAGAGUGUGGUAGGGGAGAUCGGAAUUCCUGGUGUAGCGGUGAAAUGCGCAGAUAUCAGGAGGAACACCGGUGGCGAAGGCGGAUCUCUGGGCCAUUACUGACGCUGAGGAGCGAA